rnacentral:rRNA from 1 species
CUUGGUCAUUUAGAGGAAGUAAAAGUCGUAACAAGGUCUCCGUUGGUGAACCAGCGGAGGGAUCAUUACCGAGUUUACAACUCCCAAACCCCUGUGAACAUACCACUUGUUGCCUCGGCGAAUCAGCCCGCUCCCGGUAAAACGGGACGGCCCGCCAGAGGACCCCUAAACUCUGUUUCUAUAUGUAACUUCUGAGUAAAACCAUAAAUAAAUCAAAACUUUCAACAACGGAUCUCUUGGUUCUGGCAUCGAUGAAGAACGCAGCAAAAUGCGAUAAGUAAUGUGAAUUGCAGAAUUCAGUGAAUCAUCGAAUCUUUGAACGCACAUUGCGCCCGCCAGUAUUCUGGCGGGCAUGCCUGUUCGAGCGUCAUUUCAACCCUCAAGCACAGCUUGGUGUUGGGACUCGCGUUAAUUCGCGUUCCUCAAAUUGAUUGGCGGUCACGUCGAGCUUCCAUAGCGUAGUAGUAAAACCCUCGUUACUGGUAAUCGUCGCGGCCACGCCGUUAAACCCCAACUUCUGAAUGUUGACCUCGGAUCAGGUAGGAAUACCCGCUGAACUUAAGCAUAUCAAUAAGCGGAGGA